GAUUCACCUGAGCAGGACCUCUGAAACCCUGGACCAGUGGUCUCACAUGGUGCUACGCCUGCAUGUAAACACGCCUGCAAACGCUGCCUGCCGGUAAACACGCCUGCAAACGCUGCCUGCCCGUAAACACGCCUGCAAACGCUGCCUGCCCACACAGGUUCACGUGCAGCUCAAGGAAAGGCCUGAAAGGAGCCCUUAUCUGUGCUCAGGACUCAGAAGCCUCUGGGUCAGUGGUCCACAUCCCGGGACGCAGCAGGAGGCCAGGCCGGCGAGCCCUGUGGAUGAGCCCUCAGAACCCUUGGCUUGCCCACGUGGAAAAGGGAUAGAGGUUGGGUUUCCCCCCUUUUAUAGAUGGUCACGCACCUGGGUGUUACAAAGUUGUAUGUGGCAUGAAUACUUUUUGUAAUGAUUGAUUAAAUGCAAGAUAGUUUAUC
rnacentral:lncRNA from 1 species